rnacentral:rRNA from 1 species
CUCAGUAACGCGUAGUCAAUCUAACCUAUGGACGGGGAUAACCUCGGGAAACUGAGAAUAAUACCCGAUAGAACAUUAUGCCUGGAAUGGUUUAUGUUUCAAAUAAUUUAUUGCCGUAGGAUGGGACUGCGGCCUAUCAGUUUGUUGGUGAGGUAAUGGCCCACCAAGACUAUUACAGGUACGGGCUCUGAGAGGAGUAGCCCGGAGAUGGGUACUGAGACACGGACCCAGGCCCUAUGGGGCGCAGCAGGCGAGAAAACUUUGCAAUGUGCGAAAGCACGACAAGGUUAAUCCGAGUGGUUUCUGCUAAAGGAACCUUUUGUUAGUCAUAGAACCACUAAUGAAUAAGGGGUGGGCAAGUUCUGGUGUCAGCCGCCGCGGUAAAACCAGCACCUCAAGUGGUCAGGAUGAUUAUUGGGCCUAAAGCAUCCGUAGCCUGCUUUGUAAGUUUUCGGUUAAAUCCAUACGCUUAACGUAUGGGCUGCCGGGAAUACUGCACAGCUAGGGAGUGGGAGAGGUAGACGGUACUCGGUAGGAAGGGGUAAAAUCCUUUGAUCUAUCGAUGACCACCUGUGGCGAAGGCGGUCUACCAGAACACGUCCGACGGUGAGGGAUGAAAGCUGGGGGAGCAAACCGGAUUAGAUACCCGGGUAGUCCCAGCUGUAAACUAUGCAAACUCGGUGAUGCAUUGGCUUGAUGCCAAUGCAGUGCCGCAGGGAAGCCGUUAAGUUUGCCGCCUGGGAAGUACGUACGCAAGUAUGAAACUUUAAAGGAAUU